GGCGUUGUGACUCAGUGGUAGAGUGCUUGCCUUGCAUGCAUGAGGCCCUGGGUUUGAUCCUCAGCACCA
rnacentral:tRNA from 1 species